AAUCAUGCAAGUCGAAGCGGACAGAUGGGAAGCUUGCUCCCUGAUGUUAGCGGCGGACGGGUGAGUAACACGUGGGUAACCUGCCUGUAAGACUGGGAUAACUCCGGGAAACCGGGGCUAAUACCGGAUGCUUGUUUGAACCGCAUGGUUCAAACAUAAAAGGUGGCUUCGGCUACCACUUACAGAUGGACCCGCGGCGCAUUAGCUAGUUGGUGAGGUAAUGGCUCACCAAGGCAACGAUGCGUAGCCGACCUGAGAGGGUGAUCGGCCACACUGGGACUGAGACACGGCCCAGACUCCUACGGGAGGCAGCAGUAGGGAAUCUUCCGCAAUGGACGAAAGUCUGACGGAGCAACGCCGCGUGAGUGAUGAAGGUUUUCGGAUCGUAAAGCUCUGUUGUUAGGGAAGAACAAGUACCGUUCGAAUAGGGCGGUACCUUGACGGUACCUAACCAGAAAGCCACGGCUAACUACGUGCCAGCAGCCGCGGUAAUACGUAGGUGGCAAGCGUUGUCCGGAAUUAUUGGGCGUAAAGGGCUCGCAGGCGGUUCCUUAAGUCUGAUGUGAAAGCCCCCGGCUCAACCGGGGAGGGUCAUUGGAAACUGGGGAACUUGAGUGCAGAAGAGGAGAGUGGAAUUCCACGUGUAGCGGUGAAAUGCGUAGAGAUGUGGAGGAACACCAGUGGCGAAGGCGACUCUCUGGUCUGUAACUGACGCUGAGGAGCGAAAGCGUGGGGAGCGAACAGGAUUAGAUACCCUGGUAGUCCACGCCGUAAACGAUGAGUGCUAAGUGUUAGGGGUUUCCGCCCCUUAGUGCUGCAGCUAACGCAUUAAGCACUCCGCCUGGGGAGUACGGUCGCAAGACUGAACUCAAGGAAUUGACGGGGCCCGCACAGCGGUGGAGCAUGUGGUUUAAUUCGAGCACGCGAGACCUUACCAGUCUGACAUCCUCUGACAUCCUAGAGAUAGGACGUCCCUCGGGGCAGAGUGACAGUGUGCAUGUGUCG
rnacentral:rRNA from 1 species